AAUAGAUACCCCCGGUAGUCCACGCCGUAAACGAUGAGUGCUAAGUGUUAGAGGGUUUCCGCCCUUUAGUGCUGCAGCUAACGCAUUAAGCACUCCGCCUGGGGAGUACGGCCGCAAGGCUGAAACUCAAAGGAAUUGACGGGGGCCCGCACAAGCGGUGGAGCAUGUGGUUUAAUUCGAAGCAACGCGAAGAACCUUACCAGGUCUUGACAUCCUCUGACAACCCUAGAGAUAGGGCUUUCCCCUUCGGGAGACAGAGUGACAGGUGGUGCAUGGUUGUCGUCAGCUCGUGUCGUGAGAUGUUGGGUUAAGUCCCGCAACGAGCGCAACCCUUGAUCUUAGUUGCCAGCAUUCAGUUGGGCACUCUAAGGUGACUGCCGGUGACAAACCGGAGGAAGGUGGGGAUGACGUCAAAUCAUCAUGCCCCUUAUGACCUGGGCUACACACGUGCUACAAUGGAUGGUACAAAGGGCUGCAAACCUGCAAGGUAGCGAAUCCAUAAGCCAUUCUCAGUUCGGAUUGC
rnacentral:rRNA from 1 species